UACCUCCCAGUUUUUUAGUACUGUACAUAAUGUUUUAUUAAUUUGUCCUUUUUGGCUGCUGCCAAGACAGCAUAUAUGGAACUGAUUUUUGAACCUCAAGAAACUGACAUUUUGAAUUCUGCUUUGUAUCAUAAGCCUCAAAUGCAAGAAGCUGUGAUUAGAAUGUGAUAAUAGCCGAGGUGCCAUAAUUCUCUGCUGUUGUAUGUUGCCACAAACCUUCAAUCCGUGAGAAAUGCGGUAUCCAUGGUGCACCAUAAAGAGGAGCUCAAUAAAACAAGGAGGUUUGUGCAGCUAAAAUAUCUGACUCCUAAAAUGGAGUUUCCUGAAAUUAUUCCUUACUCAUAGUGUAAUGAGGUGUACGUGUUGGAUCUAUUAUAACUUUCUUUCACUCCAUCUCUCAGAAUAGAUGAUCAUCCUCAUCUUUGCAUCAUAUUCCAAUUAGAAAGUUUCUCUUGCUUGCUCCUGCCAUGUAAGAAGUGCCUUUCGUUUCCGGCCAUGAUUCUGAGGCCUCCCCAGCUGUGUGGAACUGU
rnacentral:lncRNA from 1 species